rnacentral:lncRNA from 1 species
GGAGGAACGUUAAGCUGCCCGCCUGAGUAUUCGCUUUUUAACGACUCAUUCUCUAAGGUAACUCAGAAGUCUAUGUGGGGUCGAGAUGAUGAAAAUGCUAACCAACGUUGUAUGAAUUUUGCAACCGCAGCUGCAGCUGGUGCUUCCAAUUGUUCUGCUCCAGGCCAAAGUUCCAUUGGGCCUGCACCUAGAUUUUUAGACGCUACUCCACCACAGGUGGAUGCCUCAAAAGCCCCAGGCUAUCGUGGAAGCAUGUCUGUGAGUUCACCUGUUCUUCAAUCCAAAAGUGCACCACCACCACCGUGCAUUGACCAUUCGCCUCCACCUCCUCCACUGCCGACGUCUUAUGCUAAUUUGAUUCCAGAACCGUCUCCAAGUCAAAUUCAAGCAUCCAAUAUCACUGUUAGAUCCGAAUCCAAUUACUCAUCUCGACCUACGUACUCGGAUGAUUUUGCCCAACAAGAUUCACCAACUUCAUUGCUGAAAAUGGUUUCUUUAAACGAUACUAAUUUCUAUCACACCAAUUAUUCCCAACCAGAAACGGCUGUUAGUAUGUCAAGGCUGAAUCCCCGAGCACCCGAUUUCAGCUCUGUAAAGCAGUCGUUGCCCCCGCGCCCUUGCAACAGCCACUGUAUAACCAACCUCCUCCUCCAAACAACUAUUUGCCGCAACCUCUUCCUUCCACUGUUCUAA